GUGAAGUGACAUUGCUUCAGACCUGUUGUGAGCAGUUCUGUGCCAUUGGUUCAUCUGAUAUAGUUUGAACUGUAUUUUAGCCAAAGGUUGGAAAAAACAAUGAAGACAUUGCAGAUACUGACGGCACCUGGGUCAGUCACAGCUUACUCCAGGGCCCGGACAGGACAGACACUGGAUGUGGUAAAUACCAAAUAACAGCCUUGACAAUAGCACAGGCUGAAAAUUAUGUCCUUUACUGACUACUUUGAAGAUGCUAUGAAUUGUUUCAUGUGUCUUGGUUUCAAGGACCUGGGAAGAAGGCCAAUGACAGUUUAGACAUGAUGUUUGACACUACAGCUUACGAGGAGUACAAGUCUUACAACAACUCACAUUCUGGCCAGAGCUUGGCCUGUGAUGCUGAUAAAAGUGGUGAUGAGGAGAAUGAAGAGGAUGUACAGAACAGUGGAGGGGGUCCUACCGAAGACACCCCAGGUCAAAGUAAAGCAAGGCUCCCAACAUUUGCACAUGUGGCUGUUGUUCGCAAGAAAGAUGAGAGGAGAAAACUGAAGGGCACUACCUGCAAGGAAUGUGAAGUUGUAAGUAUUUUGAGGAUGAAGCUACAUAAAACUGAAAUUUUAGCCGUUACCUUUUUUUAA
rnacentral:lncRNA from 1 species